GCCCCGUUCGUCUAGUGGCCUAGGACGCUGGCCUCUCACGCCGGAAACAAGGGUUCAAUUCCCUUACGGGGCGCCA
rnacentral:tRNA from 1 species